rnacentral:rRNA from 1 species
CUACGGGGUGCAGCAGUGAGGAAUAUUGCACAAUGGGGGGAACCCUGAUGCAGCAACGCCGCGUGGAGGAUGACGCAUUUCGGUGUGUAAACUCCUUUUAUAUGUCAAGAAAAUGACGGUAGCAUAUGAAUAAGCACCGGCUAACUCCGUGCCAGCAGCCGCGGUAAUACGGAGGGUGCAAGCGUUACUCGGAAUCACUGGGCGUAAAGGACGCGUAGGCGGGUUGGAAAGUCAGGUGUGAAAUCCUACAGCUUAACUGUAGAACUGCACUUGAAACUUCUAAUCUAGAGUAUGGGAGGAGAGAUGGAAUUAGUGGUGUAGGGGUAAAAUCCGUAGAUAUCACUAGGAAUACCUAAAGCGAAGGCGAUCUCCUGGAACAUUACUGACGCUAAGGCGUGAAAGCGUGGGGAGCAAACAGGAUUAGAUACCCGGGUAGUC